CUUGACCGAGCCGAGCCGGAGCGGCUCCGCGCGGUCCUGCCCGUAGGUCGCGAGCAGGGCCUGCGCCUC
rnacentral:antisense_RNA from 1 species